UUUGUUGCUCUCUCUCCGACUGAGAGCGAACAAGAGAAGAUCGCCGCCGGUGGUGUCUCGGUACUAUGAUAAAAGAAGCCGAUGGAUGAAGAUCCCAUUGUUCGAUUCCAACUAAUUAAGUCUUGUCUUGGCCGGAGAAGCAAAGUCAGCGGAAUCCGAGAGAGGAUCAAAGCAAAGAUGACAAGCCCUUCUUCUUCUUCUUCUUCUCUUCUUGUUUGGGUUUUUUAGACAAAAUUGCAAAACCAUGAUCGAGACGUGUAUGUAUGUCUGAACUCUGAAGCCAGAACUAAGGGGAGAGAGAUUGAGUCUGCUACUAUGUUCUUCUUGCUUCCUCCACCACCAAUUCAUCAACUCCUCCACGCGACGAAGUAGAUUCAGAACACGGUCGCCGGCGUUCCUACCGUACCAGCAUCAAUCUGAUUUUGAAGAUUGAACCAUUCCAUACCUUUUGCUACCCUAGAUCGAUGCCGAGGAGCUCUCUGGUGCUCAUCCUGCUCAAGUACUACGGAGCUUUGGUAUUGUCUUUGUCUAACAGCGGGAGGGAGAUGUUUCAAUCUAAAGCACGAACGGGCCAAUUUCUGAAGAGGAAUUAGCAAAUACGACGACGACGAGCCCUUUUUCUCCUUCUUCUUCUUCUUGUUUGGGUUUUUUUUUUUGGAAAAGAUUGCAAAACCAUCAUCGAGUCGAAACGUGUAGGAGAGAUUGCGUGUCUGCUACUCUGUUCUUGCUUCCUCAAUCCUCACCCACCAAUUCAACUCGUCUCGAUCUCUCCUCCUCCCUCACGCGACGAAAGUAGAUUCAGAACAUGGUCGCUAUGCUAUGGUUUGAAGAACUGACGAAGAAGAUUCAGAACCAACACUGAGAUGCCUUACAAUAACAACAUCAAACAAACUGAUUGAACCUGGUGCUCUCUGGUGCCCAUCCUGCUCCUCCUGAAGUACGACAGGGCUCUGUGGUUUUGGUUUUAUAAUGCAGCCGGGAAAGUGGAUUUGGUUGGAUCUUCCAAUCAUAACACGCUUUUGGAUCUCUGAUUGGAGAGAACCCCUUCAAUGUUAAAGUUGCUCAAGUGGAUGGAACUCUCAGCCAUUAUAUAUUGGUGGACAGCUUCUCCCAUGCAUACCCUUUCAAAUCUCCACUGACACCUCUUGUAUGGAGAUGGAGAUAUCUCGACAAAGGCAGAUCAUAUGCUCGCUUUACCUAAGGUAACAAUGGUUAGACCAUUUAAUUUCCCGCUGGAGAUGCCACCACUACUUCAACUGAUGGGGG